GGUCCUGGGCCUGGUCCUGGUCCUGGUCCUGGGCCUGGGCCUGGUCCUGGGCCUGGUCCUGGUCCUGGUCCUGGUC
ensembl:miRNA